rnacentral:rRNA from 1 species
CACGUAGGGGGCGAGCGUUGUCCGGAUUUAUUGGGCGUAAAGAGCUCGUAGGCGGCUCCGUAAGUGAGGUGUGAAAACUCCAGGCUCAACCUGGAGACGCCACCUCAUACUGCGGUGGCUAGAGUCCGGUAGGGGAGCAUGGAAUUCCUGGUGUAGCGGUGAAAUGCGUAGAUAUCGUUUGGAACGCCAAUGGUGAAAACAGCUAGCUGGGAGUGUGCCGACGCUGAGACACGAAAGCCAGGGGAGCGAACGGG